rnacentral:rRNA from 1 species
UGGGGAAUAUUGCACAAUGGGCGCAAGCCUGAUGCAGCCAUGCCGCGUGUAUGAAGAAGGCCUUCGGGUUGUAAAGUACUUUCAGCGGGGAGGAAGGUGUUGUGGUUAAUAACCACAGCAAUUGACGUUACCCGCAGAAGAAGCACCGGCUAACUCCGUGCCAGCAGCCGCGGUAAUACGGAGGGUGCAAGCGUUAAUCGGAAUUACUGGGCGUAAAGCGCACGCAGGCGGUCUGUCAAGUCGGAUGUGAAAUCCCCGGGCUCAACCUGGGAACUGCAUCCGAAACUGGCAGGCUUGAGUCUUGUAGAGUGGGGUAGAAUUCCAGGUGUAGCGGUGAAAUGCGUAGAGAUCUGGAGGAAUACCGGUGGCGAAGGCGGCCCCCUGGACAAAGACUGACGCUCAGGUGCGAAAGCGUGGGGAGCAAACA